rnacentral:rRNA from 1 species
AUUGAACGCUGGCGGAAUGCUUUACACAUGCAAGUCGAACGGCAGCAUAGGUGCUUGCACCUGAUGGCGAGUGGCGAACGGGUGAGUAAUACAUCGGAACGUGCCCAGUCGUGGGGGAUAACGUAGCGAAAGUUACGCUAAUACCGCAUACGAUCUAAGGAUGAAAGCGGGGGACCGUAAGGCCUCGCGCGAUUGGAGCGGCCGAUGUCAGAUUAGGUAGUUGGUGAGGUAAAGGCUCACCAAGCCGACGAUCUGUAGCUGGUCUGAGAGGACGAACAGCCACACUGGGACUGAGACACGGCCCAGACUACUACGGGAGGCAGCAGUGGGGAAUUUUGGACAAUGGACGCAAGUCUGAUCCAGCCAUUCCGCGUGAAGGACGAAGGCCUUCGGGUUGUAAACUGCUUUUGUACGGAACGAAAAAGCUCUUACUAAUACUAGGAGUCCAUGACGGUACCGUAAGAAUAAGCACCGGCUAACUACGUGCCAGCCGCCGCAGUAA